rnacentral:rRNA from 1 species
CAGUAGCCGCGGUAACACGAAGGGUGCAAGCGUUAAUCGGAAUUACUGGGCGUAAAGCGUGCGUAGGCGGUUUGUUAAGUCUGCUGUGAAAUCCCCGGGCUCAACCUGGGAAUGGCAGUGGAUACUGGCAAGCUAGAGUGUGUCAGAGGAUGGUGGAAUUCCCGGUGUAGCGGUGAAAUGCGUAGAGAUCGGGAGGAACAUUAGUGGCGAAGGCGGCCAUCUGGGACAACACUGACGCUGAGGCACGAAAGCGUGGGGAGCAAACAGGAUUAGAUACCCCUGUAGUCCCUGUCUCUUAUAC